AUAUUGGGCAAUGGACGCAAGUCUGACCCAGCAACGCCGCGUGAAGGAAGAAGGCUUUCGGGUUGUAAACUUCUUUUGUCAGGGAACAGUAGAAGAGGGUACCUGACGAAUAAGCCACGGCUAACUACGUGCCAGCAGCCGCGGUAAUACGUAGGUGGCAAGCGUUGUCCGGAUUUACUGGGUGUAAAGGGCGUGUAGCCGGGUGUGUAAGUCAGAUGUGAAAUCUGGAGGCUCAACCUCCAAACUGCAUUUGAAACUGCGCAUCUUGAGUAUCGGAGAGGUAAUCGGAAUUCCUAGUGUAGCGGUGAAAUGCGUAGAUAUUAGGAAGAACACCAGUGGCGAAGGCGGAUUACUGGACGACAACUGACGGUGAGGCGCGAAAGCGUGGGGAGCAAACAG
rnacentral:rRNA from 1 species